rnacentral:rRNA from 1 species
UACGUAGGGGGCAAGCGUUGUCCGGAAUCAUUGGGCGUAAAGAGCGUGUAGGCGGCUCGGUAAGUCCGCUGUAAAAGUCCAGGGCUCAACCUCGAGACGCCGAUGGAAACCAUCAGACUAGAGUCCGGAAGAGGAGAGUGGAAUUCCUGGUGUAGCGGUGAAAUGCGCAGAUAUCAGGAAGAACACCCGUGGCUAAGGCGGCUCUCUAGUACGGUACUGACGCUGAGACGCGAAAGCGUGGGGAGCGAACAGG